CUUAGGAUAUCAAGGCAUUCGGUUUGUGUCCAGUGUACCCAGAUGCGAUUUGGUGGAUGUGGGUGAAAGCAAGAUUUGUUCUUGCUGUGGAGAAUUUCAUCUCACUAAAUGCACAGAAGAAGAGGCUGUGCUGAUGCUAUACCACCUGAAGUCAUGCAGUGCUUCUCACCUUCUUCUCAAGAAAGUUCUCUUUGCUCUUUGUGCCCUGAAUGCUUUCACCAUCACAGUUUGCUUGGUAGCGGCUAUCCUGCGUUGCUUACAG
rnacentral:lncRNA from 14 species